rnacentral:rRNA from 1 species
GAUGAACGCUGGCGGCGUGCCUAAUACAUGCCAGUCGAGCGAACGGACGAGAAGCUUGCUUUUCUGAUGUUAGCGGCGGACGGGUGAGUAACACGUGGAUAACCUACCUAUAAGACUGGGAUAACUUCGGGAAACCGGAGCUAAUACCGGAUAAUAUUUUGAACCGCAUGGUUCAAAAGUGAAAGACGGUCUUGCUGUCACUUAUAGAUGGAUCCGCGCUGCAUUAGCUAGUUGGUAAGGUAACGGCUUACCAAGGCAACGAUGCAUAGCCGACCUGAGAGGGUGAUCGGCCACACUGGAACUGAGACACGGUCCAGACUCUACGGGAGGCAGCAGUAGGGAAUCUUCCGCAAUGGGCGAAAGCCUGACGGAGCAACGCCGCGUGAGUGAUGAAGGUCUUCGGAUCGUAAAACUCUGUUAUUAGGGAAGAACAUAUGUGUAAGUAACUGUGCACAUCUUGACGGUACCUAAUCAGAAAGCCACGGCUAACUACGUG